CGAAAGGAUAACAGCAGGCCGGUAGCAUUGCUUGCAAGGAAGGGAACUUCUGCCUCUGCCUCCAGAAUCUGUUCUGGGUUGGGAACUCCACUCCGUAUUAUUUCUCAUCUAUUCGUGUGCAUUUCUAAUAUCAGCGUAUGUGACUGCCUACAACUUAACAAGGCAACAUGGGCACUUGUUCUUGAGUGCACACAAGUCAGCAUGACCCUAGGAAGUUCUGGGGAUUUUCUGUGGUGCUUUACAUAUGGUGUCACUACCACACACAAACACAACAGCUCUCCCAGUUAAAGGCCUUGAAGAUGAGGAAGGGCAGCAGGUUUUAAAAAGUCAGUGGGCAUGACAGAGCAGGUGUUUGGCCACACCCUCCUUGAAUUUAACUGCCACGAUCUACAGAUGUGUUUUGUUCUAUUUUCUGUUUGUAUUUGUGUUUGGGUCAUUUCCUCUGAAGCCAGAGGGUGAAGGGGUCCUGGCAAAAUUAGUUCUCAGACAACUGUUGAUAAUUUUGAUCCUUGAAAAUGAAUUCCAAACCCGAGAUGACAAAGGGAGGUUCAGCAGCGUAUCAGAAUCUGUCACAGGUCACGCUGCUUGGACUGAAGACAGGAGAAUACAGUCCCCGAGAGUUUCUGCUCCCUCAGAUAGUGUGGUGAGAGGGAGAGGUGGAAACUUGCAAAGCUUUGGUAGGCAACAUUGAGAUUUGGGGGACACGUGACCACUUUUGGGUGCCAGAAAAUUGUUUUCUUAAAAAAACUAGAGAGUUGGUUGUUUUGUUUUGUUCUUUUCUUUUUAGUAUUUCAUCUUCUUCUGGCAGCCCCACUUGGGUCAUGUCUUCCUCUUACUUUCCUGGAGACAGAGAUAGUGGGUGCUGGAGCCCAGGGCAGGGUCCCUCUCCAGCUGCAGUGAUUUAAAUGGCAAGCAGAACAGCAGCAGCAAAGCUUCACGUGACCGCUGAUGGCUUUGUUGAUUGCGUUUACUUAACUUACAUUGAUAUAUGGAUGGACAAGAGAUGAGGGAGACUAGACAUCAGUGUCCAGUCACUCCACACAUGUGCUACCGAGCAGGUGUCUGCUCGAAUGUGAUUUACACCCAGAAUGAGUUAAACUGGACAUUGCCUAAGGCCAUGCAUUGAUAAUAUUUUUAAAGUCUUUUACAUUUUUUUUUCCCCAAAAGAGCAAAUGUUUGCUGAAAAUCACUUAGAACAUGCCAAUAGCCAAACAGAAGGGGAACAUUUGAAACCCUUCCACUGGUGUUCAAUUUGGUGGAAUUAAAUGCUGAACACGUGGGGCAAGUUGCAGAGAUCUCACCAUGGUUAGCACCGUGCAUGAAUCUGGCUCCGGUGGGUGUUUUGUAGAAAGGAAGCCCAAUUAGCUUUUGGAUGCAUCUUUGCCGGUUUAACUUGUCACUGACUGAACCCGUCAUUGAUCAUAAGAGUGUGUCUAGGAUUAAAUGGAAAAGCCAGUCAAGCAUUUGGCUGUUUGGCUUUCACAUCGUCAAGCGUUAGUCAUUGGGCACAUCUGGGCGUUGGGGUGGAAUGAACAGAAUACUCAGAGAAACAUCCAAAUCCUUGAUGGGAUUUUUCACAUGGGGCAUGUAUCUGAGAGUUACAGAUGUGAGAAACAGAGGGACCCCUUUCCAUUUCGGUGCUCGCAGUGUGGUUGCUAACACUUGCAUUUGCCAGGUCAGGUCUCGUUACAUACAUUUAAAGAUGGAGCCACUGUUCCUGACCCCUCCCUGCCUAGCUCACCCAUGGAACUGGAAAGUCACCACCGUGAACCUAACCUACAGGAUGAGAAACGAAACAGCCACGGCCACAGUGGCCUAUAUCUUCACUGGCGUUAAGUUGAAUGUGUUCGAACUUUGUUUUCCUGCCUUUCCCAUGUAUGGCAAAACUGGGUUUAUUUUGAUUUUCCUAAAUUAUUUUCUGAUACAAUAAAUCGUUAACUGUUUAUUUAUACUUUUACAUGGAGCACUGGUUAUUUUUUGAAAGAAAAACAAAAGCCUCUCUGUUCACGUGUUCUCCAUACCAUGGCUGUCUCUGUAGACAUAUUUAUAUAUCAUCUUCUUGAAAGAGUUAAACUACUGUAGUUCAAUGUUGUGUUUUUUUAAAUGCAUAUCAUAAUCAUGUUAAUAAACAAAAACGACACAAUAUAUUUGAGUGGGGAGGGUGGGGGGCAGGUGGCUGGGUGUGAUUUCCAUACAGGUGAACUUUUAUUCCAGAUUUUUAAAGUUGUUUCUGUAUUUCAAAGAUAUGUAUUUGGAAAACAUUGUAAAUGCAACACCUAUAUUAACUUUCCUGUGUAUAUUUAGUACUCUGAUGUUGCUAUUAAAAAAAAAAAGCAUAAUAUGAAAAAACAAAGAAAAGAAAAAAGAA